CCACGUGAGAGGGAGAGGGCGGGGCAAGGGAGAGCCCCAGGCCCGGGGACAUUAGGUCCAGUCUGCACCCCUCAAUCCAGCUCCAGUGAACCUGGGCCUCCAAGGCAUUCCCAGCAGAAUCUGGUGUGUCUACAGACAACCUGGGGCCUUUACUUGGGAAUGAGCUGGCAGGUGAUGACCCAAAAGAAAUCACACAGCGGCUGCAGACAACGUGACUGGUGACAGGAUCUUCAGGACCUCCAUCCCCACUUGCCACACCACAGAAUCAGAGAUGACCUACCAUCUAAGACCCACCCAUGAUAGAACCAGAACCAAUAAAGAAGUGGGGUGAGAAAUGUUCUUGGGAGGGAAAGACAAGAAUGUACAGCUACUGAAGAGGAACCGAAGACCCAGUCCUCAGAUUCCUAACAUAAAAAUAUUGGGAACCAAAUAACAGCUAAAAAAAAUUUCCCUAGCCAGACAUGGAGGUAUUCACCAGCAGUCUCAGCAUUUUGGAGAUGGAACCUGGAGGACCAAGAGUUAAAAGUCAUCCCUGGAUACAUCAUGAGUUCCAGGAUAGCCUAGGCUACAUGAGACUCUGUUUCAAAUAAUAAAUAAGUGUCCCCAUACCAGAAGCCUUAUCAAUCCUGUUCCCAGCACCAAUUCCUUGCCAUGCAUCAAAAGCAUGAUCAGAAAGAGCCAGCAAGAUGGUUCAGUGGGUAAAGUUAGAUCCCUGGUACAUACACAUGUGUGUGCACACACAUAAACACAAUGAAAAUAAAGAAAUUUAAAUAUGUA